rnacentral:rRNA from 1 species
AGUCGAACGGCAGCAUGAGAGAGCUUGCUCUCUUGAUGGCGAGUGGCGGACGGGUGAGUAAUGUAUCGGAACGUGCCCGGUAGUGGGGGAUAACUACGCGAAAGCGUAGCUAAUACCGCAUAUUCUCUACGGAGGAAAGAGGGGGAUCGUAAGACCUCUUGCUACCGGAGCGGCCGAUAUCAGAUUAGCUAGUUGGUGGGGUAACGGCCUACCAAGGCGGUGAUCUGUAGCUGGUUUGAGAGGACGACCAGCCACACUGGGACUGAGACACGGCCCAGACUCCUACGGGAGGCAGCAGUGGGGAAUUUUCGACAAUGGGGGGAACCCUGAUCGAGCCAUCUCGCGUGUGGGACGAAGGCCUUCGGGUUGUAAACCACUUUUCUCAACGAAGAAAAGUCUUAGGCUAAUACCUUAAGAUGCUGACGGUAGUUGAGGAAUAAGCACCGGCUAA